CUGAUUCCAGUGAAGUCAAGACCGUAAAAGGAGGAAGCCCCGGAUACUGUGGCUAACGGAGUGUAUUUAACCGAUUGGGAAGGUGAGCCGCCGAAGGUCAGGAAUCCAGUUGAGCUAGAGGAGGAUGGAAGACAAUAGGAGAAGAUCUUAUUGUAUUUUUCUGCAGUUUGUGAGACUAAUGAGAGUUUAUCGCGGCCCAGACCAAGUAGCCCGGCAGACCCACCGAAGAGACCUUGGUUGUUUUGGCCACAACCGAAAUAGAAAUUUUCAAAAACAUCGCUUGAUGUUAAAGUGAGUCUUUCUUUACCGAAGUAUCCAACAGAGAAAGAAGAGUCGCCGUAUUGGAUGCCAUAUAUACAUGCUGAAGAGCAGCUAACCGUAUUACCUGUUGCAGAAGCGAGAGAAUUGCAGAGGGUGGAUCCACAAGAAAUAUUGGAGUAAGAUGUUGAAGAGGAAGGAU
rnacentral:lncRNA from 1 species